AGACCUCAAAUCAGUCAGGACUACCCGCUGAACUUAAGCAUAUCAAUAAGCGGAGGAAAAGAAACUAACAAGGAUUCCCCUAGUAACGGCGAGUGAAGUGGGAAAAGCUCAACUUUGAAAUCUGGCUGCUUUGCAGUCCGAGUUGUAGUCUCGAGAAGUGUUUUCCGCGUUAAACCGUGUAUGAGUCUGUUGGAAUACAGCGUCAUAGAGGGUGAGAACCCCGUUCAUGACACGGCUUUUAAUGCUUUGUGAUACAUUUUCGAUGAGUCGAGUUGUUUGGGGAAUGCAGCUCAAAUUGGGUGGUAAAUUCCAUCUAAAGCUAAAUAUUGGCGGGAGACCGAUAGCAAACAAGUACCGUGAGGGAAAGAUGAAAAGCACUUUGGAAAGAGAGUUAAAAGUACGUGAAAUUGUCGAAAGGGAAACGCUUGAAGUCAGACGUGCACGGGAUUCAUUCCCAUUGCAGGCCAACAUCGGUUUUGCGAGCCGGAUAAAGGUAGAAGGAAGGUGGCAGUCUCGGCUGUGUUAUAGCCUUCUACUGAAUACGGAUUGCGAGACCGAGGGACGCAGCGCGCCGCAAGGCAGAGGGUUCGCCCUUUUCGCGCUUAGGAUGUUGGUGAAAUGGCUUUAAACGACCCGUCUUGAAACACGGACCAAGGAGUCUAACAUGCUUGCGAGUAUUUGGGUGUCAAACCCACAUGCGCAAUGAAAGUGAAUGGAGGUGGGAUCCUUUACGGGAGCACCAUCGACCGGCCUGGAAGUUUACUGAAAGGUCUGAGUAAGAGCACGUAUGUUGGGACCCGAAAGAUGGUGAACUAUGCCUGAAUAGGGUGAAGCCAGAGGAAACUCUGGUGGAGGCUCGUAGCGGUUCUGACGUGCAAAUCGAUCGUCA
rnacentral:rRNA from 1 species